UUAGGGCUAGCUUUCCCUCUGCCGUUUAUUCUCCCCUUGGCCCUUCUAUGGGGUCUCUGGGUGUGAAAUGAAUAGGAGCCUCCUUCCCAGCUGUCUUCCAGGCCCUGGGAUCUGGCACAGCCUCCCAGAUGGGCGCAUCCUGCAACUGAGCCACCUUGGAGCAGUGGGGACAGGUCACCUCGUCCCAUCAAAGCAAGCAAUGCUGGCUCCCAAAGAGGCUGAGAAUGAAGACCCCACUCCCUCCUGGAGCUCUGUGCCAACCUCUCACACAGAUGUAUCCUGCAGCCAGCCCAGCUCAGGGAGCAGUGGGGACAGUGAUUUCAUCCUGUCAAACCAAGCAAUAUGGGUCUCAUUGAGGCUUUGAUGGAAGAUCCCAUGCAUCUCCUGCAGAGGAUGUGUCCGGGAUCCUGGAGAGUGUUUCCUGCAGGAGGUUUGAGCGGGGAGAGAUCACUCACUGUCAUGACCCAUGGGUCCUCAGCCCAGGUCUGCAGGGUUCACGGGAGCAGCCAUACUCCAGCACUCCACCUGGAAGCCUGCUGACAACUAUUUACCUCCAGCCCCUCUUUGAGGCUUCAGCCCUGAAGCCUAUUGGUGGAGUCCCAGACCAGCUAAUUGAUCCCCGGGCCCUCCUUAAGCUGGCAGCACAGACAGGAAGCUGUCUGAAUACCCGAGCUCCUCCCUCUUCUGGACCGUGUGCUAUUUGUUCCUGCUCCCACUCCCCCGGCUUGAUUUCCUGGCAUCCAGACUCGGAGGACACCACCUUGUCUGACUAGGGCUCACCGUCCAUCCUAGAGCUGAACACCAGAUGGGAGCUGAUAGAUUGUCCUUGGUGGGCCAUGUCCUUGGUUGUGUGUGAUGGAGCUGUGUGCCAGAGAGGGCCAGGAGCAGAUGCACCACGCAUGGCUAGGAACGGGCUAAACAGCCUAUAAUGCUAGACUAACACGGCUGCUACUCUGAAAAAUGUCAACAUUGUUAACUAUUUCACUGCUCAUCACAGCAUGAAGAAGAGGAAGUAUUACAUUAUAAAGAUCUUCACACUAGUGUUUACCAAAAGGAGUGGUGGUGCAGAGUAUAAAGGAAUAGCUAGCAAAGGAAUGUGUUGAAGAUGUAUAAAUUAAUCUACAUAGGCCCUUAACACCAUAUGGUGGGGCUGAAAGAUGUGGUGAAUGGUUUCAUUCUCCUUGAGGUAGGCUCCUCUUUCAGAAAUUUGGAAAAGUUACCUGGACAAGAAAUGCACUCAUUUUGGCUGUUUAAGUGUUUGCCACAGCUGUGUGAAUAGAAACCGAACCCAGCUCUUGUGCUCUCUGGUAAGUCCAUUGGAAGAUAAAUGAAGGUUACUGUGACCCUAGGCACCCUAUAUUCACACACUAUUGCAGUACUAUUUGUACAAACUAUGCCUUGUGCAGUAUCACUGAAAGCUAUGUGUUAAUGUUAUAUUAAUAAGCAUUUAUAUGUGAAGUUCUUAAUUCCCUCAGUAUGAUGUUGCUAGAACUAGCCUGGCCUAGUUAAAGGUAAUAAACACAUCUGUCUGAGACAAAGGAAUGUAGAUUUA